CGAACGCGUCUCCGUUGAUGAUUUUAGGUGCUUGCACUUGAAAGAUCUUAACAUUGAGACGAGUGGCGAACUGGUGAGUAACACGUGGGUAACCUGCCCUUGAAGUAGGGGAUAACACUUGGAAACAGGUGCUAAUACCGUAUAACAACCAAAACCACCUGGUUUUGGUUUAAAAGACGGCUUCGGCUGUCACUUUAGGAUGGACCCGCGGCGUAUUAGCUUGUUGGUAAGGUAACGGCCUACCAAGGCGAUGAUACGUAGCCGACCUGAGAGGGUAAUCGGCCACAUUGGGACUGAGACACGGCCCAAACUCCUACGGGAGGCAGCAGUAGGGAAUCUUCCACAAUGGACGAAAGUCUGAUGGAGCAACGCCGCGUGAGUGAUGAAGGGUUUCGGCUCGUAAAACUCUGUUGUUGGAGAAGAACAGGUGUCAGAGUAACUGUUGACAUCUUGACGGUAUCCAACCAGAAAGCCACGGCUAACUACGUGCCAGCAGCCGCGGUAAUACGUAGGUGGCAAGCGUUGUCCGGAUUUAUUGGGCGUAAAGCGAGCGCAGGCGGUUUUUUAGGUCUGAUGUGAAAGCCUUCGGCUUAACCGGAGAAGUGCAUCGGAAACCGGGAGACUUGAGUGCAGAAGAGGACAGUGGAACUCCAUGUGUAGCGGUGAAAUGCGUAGAUAUAUGGAAGAACACCAGUGGCGAAGGCGGCUGUCUGGUCUGUAACUGACGCUGAGGCUCGAAAGCAUGGGUAGCGAACAGGAUUAGAUACCCUGGUAGUCCAUGCCGUAAACGAUGAGUGCUAAGUGUUGGAGGGUUUCCGCCCUUCAGUGCUGCAGCUAACGCAUUAAGCACUCCGCC
rnacentral:rRNA from 1 species